rnacentral:rRNA from 1 species
CAGCAGCCGCGGUAAUACGCAGGUCCCGAGCGUUGUCCGGAUUUAUUGGGCGUAAAGCGAGCGCAGGCGGUUAGAUAAGUCUGAAGUUAAAGGCUGUGGCUUAACCAUAGUACGCUUUGGAAACUGUUUAACUUGAGUGCAGAAGGGGAGAGUGGAAUUCCAUGUGUAGCGGUGAAAUGCGUAGAUAUAUGGAGGAACACCGGUGGCGAAAGCGGCUCUCUGGUCUGUAACUGACGCUGAGGCUCGAAAGCGUGGGGAGCAAACAGGAUUAGAUACCCCAGUAGUCCCUGUCUCUUAUACA